AUUGAUAGGGGUGGAUAGAGGUCUAUCAUGCUUUUUCUUAAAGGGAGAAGCGUUGAGGACUUCAUUGGAAUGAGGAAUUUUUAUCCCUUCAAGAGGAGGAGUAACGGAUUCAAUUAUCUUGUUACUCUGAGUAUACCAUUUGUUAAUGAUAACGUUAAGGGAUUCAUUCUGGUUUUCCAUUCUUCCGGUGAAUUCAAACCAUCGGAAGAACUCUAUGUCACAUCGGAGUCUUUUCAUAUCGGCUAACCAUAGCCGACCAAACUCCUUUUGCUGCUCCUUAGAAUAGGUACUGGUGU
rnacentral:lncRNA from 1 species